GAUGAACGCUGGCGGCGUGCCUAAUACAUGCAAGUCGAGCGAACAGACGAGGAGCUUGCUCCUCUAACGUUAGCGGCGGACGGGUGAGUAACACGUGGAUAACCUACCUAUAAGACUGGGAUAACUUCGGGAAACCGGAGCUAAGACCGGAUAAUAUAUUGAACCGCAUGGUUCAAUAGUGAAAGACGGUUUUGCUGUCACUUAUAGAUGGAUCCGCGCCGCAUUAGCUAGUUGGUAAGGUAACAGCUUGCCAAGGCAACGAUGCGUAGCCGACCUGAGAGGGUGAUCGGCCACACUGGAACUGAGACACGGUCCAGACUCCUACGGGAGGCAGCAGUAGGGAAUCUUCCGCGAUGGGCGAAAGCCUGACGGAGCAACGCCGCGUGAGUGAUGAAGGUCUUCGGAUCGUAAAACUCUGUUAUUAGGGAAGAACAAAUGUGUAAGUAACUAUGCACGUCUUGACGGUACCUAAUCAGAAAGCCACGGCUAACUACGUG
rnacentral:rRNA from 1 species